rnacentral:rRNA from 1 species
UACGUAGGGUGCAAGCGUUGUCCGGAAUUAUUGGGCGUAAAGAGCUCGUAGGCGGUCUGUCGCGUCUGCUGUGAAAACUCAGGGCUUAACCCUGAGCUUGCAGUGGGUACGGGCAGACUAGAGUGCGGUAGGGGAGACUGGAAUUCUCGGUGUAGCGGUGAAAUGCGUAGAUAUCGAGAGGAACACCUGCGGCGAAGGCGGGUUGCUGGGCUGACACUGACGCUGAGGCGCGAAAGCUAGGGGAGCGAACGGG